rnacentral:snRNA from 1 species
GGAUGUGAGGGCGAUCUGGCUGUGACAUCUGUCACCCCAUUGAUGGCCAGGGUUGAUUCGGCUGAUCUGGCUGGCUAGGCGGGGGUCCCCCCCCCCCCUCACCGAUCCAUGUGCGUCCCUCCCGAAGCUGCGCGCUCGGUCGAAGAGGACCUUCCCCCCCGAGGAGAGGACCGGUCUUCGGUCAAGGGUAUACGAGUAGCUGCGCUCCCCUGCUAGAACCUCCAAACAAGCUCUCAAGAACUGGGCUUGAGAAAGAAGUGGGGUUGUCUUUGAGACCCGAGUCCACCAUUCUUCCAGGGCUGGU